rnacentral:rRNA from 1 species
AUUGAACGCUGGCGGCAGGCCUAACACAUGCAAGUCGAGCGAGUGGCGGACGGGUGAGUAAUGUAUGGGGAACUGCCUGAUGGAGGGGGAUAACUACUGGAAACGGUAGCUAAUACCGCAUACCAUCAGAUGUACCCAUAUGGGAUUAGGGAGUUGGUGAGGUAACGGCUCACCAAGCCGACGAUCUCUAGCUGGUCUGAGAGGAGGACCAGCCACACUGGAACUGAGACACGGCCCAGACUCCUACGGGAGGCAGCAGUGGGGAAUAUUGCGCAAUGGGGGCAACCCUGACGCAGCCAUGCCGCGUGAAUGAAGAAGGCCUUCGGGUUGUAAAGUUCUUUCGGUGGCGAGGCGUUACCUACAGAAGAAGCACCGGCUAACUCCGUGCCAGCAGCCGCGGUAAUAC